GCACAAUGGGCGGAAGCCUGAUGCAGCAACGCCGCGUGAGGGAUGACGGCCUUCGGGUUGUAAACCUCUUUUAGCAGGGAAGAAACGAAAGUGACGGUACCUGCAGAAAAAGCGCCGGCUAACUACGUGCCACCAGGCCGCGGUAAUUUUAA
rnacentral:rRNA from 1 species